rnacentral:lncRNA from 1 species
UGGGUUUGUGUUCUCCUCCAUGAGGACUUCGAAACGAUAUAUUAUAUGUCCAAAAUAGAGUAUAAGUGAAUGAGAUAUCGAUACUCAAAGAUGGUUAUUUGAGAAUAAGUUUAGCAAAAGAGAGGAAUGUGGGAAUGAGUCCCACAUUGGUAGAGAGACCAGACUCAACAAGGUUUAUAAGCUUCAUUGCAAUGAAGGCUUACAAGCUUGUGUCUAUGGUUAUGCUACAAUUCCUACCCGCGCGCAGGGGGGUGCAAAUCUUGGUUCCAUAGACCAAAAACACCGAACUCGUGCAUGGGCGCGACCUGCGGACACGAAUGCAGCUCCGAAAACUCGGGCGCGCGCUACCCUCAUUUUUGCUAAACUUUACAGUUUUGGUCCCUAUUUUUGAAUUCUAUAACGGAUGUAUUGAUUGCGUAAUUAAUGACAUUUAUUGCCAUUAAACGCUCAAUCAAUUAGUUAUUUGUUUCCGUUUUGCAAUUCAACUAUAAAAGAAGACCGUGUCUUCUCAUUCAGACAUACGAAUGAAACUACUCUUCUUCUUCUUCCUUCUCUGCACUCCUGCUUCCGGCGAUUCUUUCAGGCAAGUGGUGAUAUCCGGCAGUACACUAUACUGUUUAGGUUGUUGUACCUUGGGAACAGACGACGAAUCUGUUUAAGGGAAUCGAGUCCAACUCGAGCCUCAACCACAUCGUUUGUAUCUAAUCUUUCUUUACAGGAACCUUUCAUGGACGAAAACGAAGACCUUAUACUAAUAGUCUUAAACAGAUUCUAUUAUUUGUUCUAAUACUUUCGUUUUCUGUUCUUCUAUUCUAAAAUCGAGUUUGUAUUGAUUUUUUUCUUCCUGUAAUAAUUUAUUUCAUUGUGGUUACGAUUCUUUCAGAAUGUCUGCAACUUCCGUUGGUACUGGAACUCCUGCUGUUGGUGCUACCCCUGCUGUGAACCCAAAUGCACCGGUUCCAAACAUCAUGGCUAAUCAUGCUGAAAGACCUGAAAAUUUUUCUGGUCUGAACUUCAAGAGGUGGCAACAGAAGAUGUUGUUCUACUUGACUACCUUGAACCUGGCUCGGUUCCUAACAGAAACUGCUCCUGUAAUUGCUGAGGGGCAGGCUGAUGCUCAAUCUGUGACUAUAGUGGAUGCAUGGAAGCAUUCUGAAUUUCUGUGCCGCAACUAUGUGUUGAAUGGGCUAACAGAUGCACUUUACAAUGUUUAUUUGUAAAGUUGCAACUGCUAAGGAACUAUGGGAGUCAUUGGAAAGGAAGUAUAAGACAGAAGAUGCUGGAACUAAGAAGCUUGUUGUUGCUAACUUCUUGGAAUACAAAAUGGUUGACUCGAAAUCUGUUAUAAGUCAAGUCCAAGACCUUCAGGUCAUCAUACAUGAUAACAAUGCAGAAGGGAUGGAUCUUAAUGAAUCAUUCCAAGUUGCAUCAAUGGUCGAAAAGCUUCCUCCUGGUUGGAUAGACUUCAAAAAUUACCUUAAGCAUAAGCGAAAGGAGAUGUAUGUGGAGGAACUGGUGAUGCGUCUUCGCAUUGAAGAAGACAAUAGAAUGGCCUUGAAGAAAGGCAGUGAAGUUGAAUCUUCUAAGGUUCAUAUGGUGGAAGCUGGUCAAACUUCCAAAAGCAAAGGCAAGGGACCUCACAAAGGGAAAGCAAAGGGCAAAAAUCUAGGCCCAAAGGCAGGAACUUUCAAGAAGAAGUUCAAGUGCUACAAUUGUGGCCAACCGGGUCACAAGGCUUCGGAGUGCCCUCAACCUAAGAGGGAAAACCGUCAAGCAAACAUGGUGAAUGAUAACAUGGAGUUGGUGGCCAUGAUAACUGAUCUCACGGCUAUGGUUUCUGAAGUGAAUCUCAUGAAUACAAAUUCAAAAGAUUGGUGGAUUGACAUGGGAGCUACUCGUCAUGUGUGUCAUGACAAAAGUGUUUUCAACACCUACAAAGAAGUUGAAGAUGGUGAAAAGCUCUACAUGGGAAAUGCAGCUACCGCGGAUAUCAAAUGUGUUGGUGAUGUCAUUCUAAAAAUGACUUCGGGGAAAGAAGUGAAGCUUAGGGAUGUCUUGUAUGUUCCUGAACUUCGUAAGAAUCUAGUGUCGGGUGGUUUGUUGAACCAAUUUGGUUUUAAGCUAGUGUUUGAGUCGGACAAGUUUGUUUUGUCCAAAAAUGGUAUGUUUGUGGGAAAAGGAUAUGCCUUGAAUGGCAUGUUCAAAUUGAAUGUAAUGCUGACAAACAAAAUGAAUAAUGAAAGUUCAAGCUCUGUUUAUUUGCUUGAGUGUUCAAAUGUUUGGCAUGGUCGCUUAGGAGAUGUAAAUUAAAAUUCAAUUAAGGGAUUAAUUAGACUAGAAUACAUACCAAAACUUAAUAUUGACUCAAAUCUCAAAUGCCCCACAUGUGUUGAAGCCAAACAAGNAACAAACUAGAUUGUCUUUCCAAACAAUAAAAAGAAACACCGAACCUCUUGAUUUAAUUCACACUGAUGUGUGUGAUCUAAAGUCAAUUCCUACUCAAGGUGGGAACAAAUACUUCAUUACAUUCAUCGAUGAUAGCACGAAAUAUUGCUACAUAUAUUUACUUAAGAGUAAAGAUGAAGCAAUAGACAAGUUUGUCUUGUACAAAAAUGAAGUUGAGAAUCAACUCAACAAGAGAAUUAAAGUGGUUAGAAGUGAUAGGGGUGGGGAAUAUGUUUCUCCCUAUGCUGAUUUUUGUGCUAAAAAUGGAAUUCGUCAUGAAUUCACAUCACCCUAUUCACCUCAAUCCAAUGGAAUUGCUGAAAGAAAGAACCGUACCUUGAAAGAAAUGGUCAAUGCCAUGAUAAUUAGUUCAGGUGUAAACCAGUCAAUGUGGGGGGAAGCUAUUUUGUCAGCUAACUAUCUUUUAAAUAAGAUACCUCGCAAAGAAAAGAAUGAAACACCGUAUGAACUUUGGAUGGGUAGAAAGCCAUCGUAUAAGUACUUACGAGUGUGGGGGUGCCUAGCUAAAGUGGUAGUGCCACCACCUAAGGUACAAAAGUUAGGGCCUAAAACAGUGGAUUGUGUAUUCAUUGGGUAUGCACAAAGUAGUAGUGCUUAUCGGUUCCUUGUGCAUGAUUCUAAGAAUCCUGAAAUACACAAGAAUACUAUAAUGGAAUCAAGGAAUGCUUCAUUCUUUGAAGAUGUGUUUCCUUGUUUGAACAAGGAAGUUGAAAGCCCAUCUUUACCAAAUAACGAAGUUGUUCGAGAGGAAGAACAAGCUCAAUCCGAGGAGGAAGAGAUAGAACCCAGAAGAAGUAAGAGGGCUAGAGUUGAAAAAUCAUUUGGUGAUGAUUUUUUCACCUAUGUGGUGGAAAGUGAACCUAAAACCUACCAAGAGGCGGUAACUUCUUCUGAGGGACCUCAAUGGAAAGAAGCCAUCAAAAAUGAGGUAGAAUCUAUCUUACAAAAUCAUACAUGGGAACUAGUGGAUCUACCUCCAGGUAGCAAGCCACUAGGUUACCGUUGGAUUUUUAAGAGAAAGAUGAAACCUGAUGGCAGUAUUGAUAAAUACAAGGCAAGACUAGUAAUCAAAGGUUAUAGACAAAAGGAAGGUCUAGACUACUUUGAUACCUAUUCGCCGGUAACGCGGAUAACAUCCAUUAGAUUAGUUCUUGCCAUUGCAGCUAUCAGAAACUUGCAAGUUCAUCAAAUGGAUGUGAAAACAGCUUUCCUAAAUGGGGAGUUGGAAGAAGAAAUUUAUAUGGAGCAACCUGAGGGAUUCAUUGCCUCAGGACAAGAGAACAAGGUCUGUAAACUUGUUAAGUCUCUAUAUGGAUUAAAACAAGCUUCUAAACAAUGGCAUCACAAAUUUAAUCAAGUCAUGAUGGAAAGUGGCUUUAGAAUCAAUGAGUGUGAUAAGUGUAUCUAUGUGAAAAACACCACUCAUGGUUAUGUCAUCUUGUGUUUGUAUGUUAAUGAUAUGCUUAUCAUUAGUAGUGAUGACAAGAUAAUAAGAUCCACGAAGGUUAUAUUAAAAUCUAGGUUCGACAUGAAAGAUAUGGGUUUAGCAGAUGUGAUACUUGGAGUGAAGAUCACAAGAACCCAAAGUGGUUUGAUUUUGAGUCAAACACACUAUAUGGAUAAAAUUCUUGAAAAAUUUGCUAAGGGAGACACUAGCAUAGCUAGAACUCCAAUUAACACUAGUCAACAUCUACGUAAAAAUAUAGGUGAUAGUGUUAAUCAAGUGGAAUAUUCAAGAAUUGGCAGUAUGAUGUAUCUAAUGAGUUGUACCAGACCUGACUUAGCAUAUGCUGUGAGUAGACUAAGUAGACACACUAGUAAACCCAGUUCUGAACACUGGAAGAGUAUUACUAGGUUGCUGAGGUAUGUGAGAUACACGCGAGAAUAUGGACUGCAUUAUGGCAGACAUCCAGCAGUUAUCGAAGGAUACACGGAUGCAAAUUGGAUAUCUGACAUAAAAGAUUCCAGAUCUACAAGUGGAUAUGUGUUUACACUUGGAGGUGCUGCUGUAGCAUGGAAAUCGUCCAAGCAAACAGUUAUAUCUAGAUCCACGAUGGAAUCUGAAUUUAUCGUCUUAGAUAUUUGUGCUGAAGAGGCGGAGUGCCUACGUCAAUUCGUAGAGGACAUUCCCGAAUGGCCUAAGCCGGUAACGGCCAUAUGUAUACAUUGUGAUAACCAAUAAGCAAUUGGUAUAGCUCAAAGUACAAUGUAUAAUGGGAAAUCAAGGCACAUUAGACGUAGACAUAAAAUGAUACGACAACUAAUCUCUACGGGGGUUAUCACGGUUGACUGGGUGAAGUCAAAGGAUAACAUCGCGGAUCCGCUUACAAAAGGCUUGAGUAGAGAUGUAGUGUAUAAGUCGUCAAGAGGAAUGGGACUAAAGCCCAUGAAUGAAUAAAUUCAUACGAAGGAAACCUUACCCAGAAGACUGGAGAUCCCAAGAUCUGGGUUCAAAAGGAUAACCAAAUUGUAUGAGUGAGGCAGGUCACUGUGGGGGGAGUUAACAUUUCUUCUUAGUCCAUUCCUUUAUGUAGUGACAAAAUUAGGCUAAACAUAUGGUUUUUUAAUGAUUCUUGGAAUCACCUAUGUGAGAGAGAAGUGGGGUCGCUUCGAAGGGAAUUAUAAGGGCAAAAAUUCCUAAAGCUCUUGCAGAACCAGGUUAGUGUUCAUGACCAAAACGAACACGUCUAUGAGGAUAUGACUUUGUUAGGGAGAGUCCUGUAAGAUUUACAUUGUCGUCUAUAUAAAUGGCAGCUUAGUUCAAAGACAUCGAGAUCUACUAACUGCUAGGAGAUUAAGUGUAACUUCUUAAGGGAAGGUUCAAAGGGUAAUACCUACCUAUCCUAUGUAGGAUUCAACUGUUGAAAAUUUCGUCUGGAAAUUGGAUGUGCAGAGAUCGAUCUCCAUUCAUGUGGGGGAUUGUUGGAAAUUUAGUAAAAAUAUUUAUAUUUUUUACUAACUUUGGACAUAUAUAAAUAUAUACAUACGUUGUAUAUAUAACGAACUCUAAGUGGGUUUGUGUUCUCCUCCAUGAGGACUUCGAAACGAUAUAUUAUAUGUCCAAAAUAGAGUAUAAGUGAAUGAGAUAUUGAUACUCAAAGAUGGGUAUUUGAGAAUAAGUUUAGCAAAAGAGAGGAAUGUGGGAAUGAGUCCCACAUUGGUAGAGAGACCAGACUCAACAAGGUUUAUAAGCUUCAUUGCAAUGAAGGCUUACAAGCUUGUAUCUAUGGUUAUGCUACAAUUCCUACCCGCGCGCAGGGGGGUGCAAAUCUUGGUUCCGUAGACCAAAAUACACCGAACUCAUGCAUGGGCGCGACCUGCGGACACGAAUGCAGCUCCGAAAACUCGGGCGCGCGCUACCCUCAUUUUUGCUAAACUUUACAGUUUUGGUCCCUAUUUUUGAAUUCUAUAACGGAUGUAUUGAUUGCGUAAUUAAUGACAUUUAUUGCCAUUAAACGCUCAAUCAAUUAGUGAUUUGUUUCCGUUUUGCAAUUCAACUAUAAAAGAAGACCUUGUCUUCUCAUUCAGACAUACGAAUGAAACUACUCUUCUUCUUCUUCCUUCUCUGCACUCCUGCUUCCGGCGAUUCUUUCAGGCAAGUGGUGAUAUCCGGCAGUACACGAUACUGUUUAGGUUGUUGUACCCUGGGAAAAGAUGACGAAUAUGUUUAAGGGAAUCGAGUCCAACUCGAGCCUCAACCACAUCGUUUGUAUCUAAUCUUUCUUUACAGGAACCUUUCAGGGAUGAAAACGAAGACCUUAUACUAACA